GGCGGCGGUGCUUAACACAUGCAAGUCGAACGAUGAAGCCGGAGCUUGCUCUGGUGGAUUAGUGGCGAACGGGUGAGUAACACGUGAGUAACCUGCCCUUGACUCUGGAAUAAGCGUUGGAAACGACGUCUAAUACCGGAUACGAGCUUCCGCCGCAUGGUGAGGAGCUGGAAAGAAUUUCGGUCAAGGAUGGACUCGCGGCCUAUCAGGUAGUUGGUGAGGUAAUGGCUCACCAAGCCUACGACGGGUAGCCGGCCUGAGAGGGUGACCGGCCACACUGGAACUGAGACACGGUCCAGACUCCUACGGGAGGCAGCAGUGGGGAAUAUUGCACAAUGGGCGCAAGCCUGAUGCAGCAACGCCGCGUGAGGGACGACGGCUUCGGGUUGUAAACCUCUMUUAGUAGGGAAGAAGCGAAAGUGACGGUACCUGCAGAAAAAGCACCGGCUAACUACGUGCCAGCAGCCGCGGUAAUACGUAGGGUGCAAGCGUUAUCCGGAAUUAUUGGGCGUAAAGAGCUCGUAGGCGGUUUGUCGCGUCUGCUGUGAAAACUGGGGGCUCAACCCCCAGCCUGCAGUGGGUACGGGCAGACUAGAGUGCGGUAGGGGAGAUUGGAAUCCUGGUGUAGCGGUGGAAUNYGCAGAWUCAGGAGGAACACCGAUGCGAAGGCWGAUCUCU
rnacentral:rRNA from 1 species